CAGAAAGUGAUCUGCAUAAAUUAGAUUUAAUGAGAUAUGACAAUGUCAGGCAUUUCUGUCUUCUCCUUUUGCUUUUUGUCAAACACUAAAAUGUCCAAGAAAAUCCAUCUAUGCCCACAAGCAUAAAUGCAUAUAUAUACCUUCAGUUAUUGGCCUUUAAUGGGUAUAAGAAAUAGCAUCAUGAAAUACAUCGAGUUGUAACUCUAAUUUAAUUACCAAGUUGAACUUUAUACAUUCCUCGAUAUGGUUAAGUCCACAGUGAAGCCAUCAGAUUGAUAUGCUUUUAUACAUGCAUACAUAUAUGCUUACAUAACUGUAUGCAUGGAUGCAUAAUAUAGUCAGAGUGAGAUAAAAAUUGUUCUGCAGCUAAAUCCCAGAAAAGAUGGAAAAAAAUUACCCUUGGGUAGCCGUCUAUGGGAGAUACUCUUCAUGUUCUGUGAACGAGAUUGACUGAACGAAUGUACAAUAAAAAUUGCAGACUGUAAAGGCCCACCAAUCUCGCUGAAAUGCAGUGCCCUGCGGAGAGUAUAGAGAACAUGAAUUUUCCUUAUAGUUGAUAAUGACCCUGCCUAUUGUUCAGCACAUGAAGGCCAUGUUACUCUCGUUGCCAAACUGUCCUGUAAAGACAACAUAGUAAGGUCUUGUAAGAUCAAUUCAACUGCUUCAAAUGGUCAACUUACUUGGCAAAUCCUAUUUCGAUUCUUUUAUAUGCACUCACAAGUUCUGUAAAUUGCUUUUUUUAUUUUUUAUUUUUUUAUACCUAGUUAUGAAUUAUAAGGUAACAAGAUAUGAUCUUUGAUAUAUGGAGGGCUAUACAAAUUUUAUACAAUUACCUUGUUCUGGUAUGUAGAAAUUGUUGGCUUUAGCAUAAAUGAUAGACUAGAUAAAUUGUUGGUGUCAUAGUCUAGCUCUUUAGCUAGGUGGAAUUUAUCAAGUUACAGUAUAGGUAAUUGGUUAUUGAGAAUUUGACUAGACCAAUGUUGGGGGAGAGAUUGGAUUUUCCUUCCACUCUUUAAGGUAGUCACAUUGUGCAUAGUGUUCCUUUCUAGUUGAAAUCUUGCAUUAUGAUUAAUAAUUUUUUUUGUACUGAUAAUUGUUUCAUUAGGAUUUUACUUGCUUGUCUCACUACUAUUUGUAUAAUGCGGAUAUACUUUGUUUUUCUUAUUACUUUCAAGAGUUGGCGUAAAACAUUUUUUUUUUUUAUGUUGAAUAUUAAAUUAUAAGGUUUUGGGUGUCAUCUUGAGGUUUGUUUGAAUUUCUUAUUUGGUGGUUUGGACAAAAUUCUCUAGUUGUCUACACAUAUAGCUAUUUGUCUCAUUACACUCAAGCUAUUUUAUGUUAGGGAUGAUUCUCUGAUAUUAACAUAUUUGUUACAAUAAUAAGGAUUGUUUUAAAAUUGAGCUACUUCAAUAUUCACAUAUGAGUAAUUGAUUUGUGUGAUAUAUGGAAACCAAUAGAGAAUAAAUAGUAACCAUUUCCCAUGGAUAUAAGCAAAGCUUUCUCAAUGUAUUUAGUUCUGCACUUUUGAUGAAUGAAAUUUAAUAUUUUCUGAAAGGUACAUUAAUGACAAUGUGUAUGUUUGGAAAAAUGGGAUUAAAUUAUAGAUGGUGUAAAAUAAGGAAAGAAAAACUUUUAUGUUGGGGCUUAAAAUUAAGUAUAUAAAUUAACUGAACUUGUUGUAGGCCCAUUGAGGAUUUUGGUAUAUUUAUAUGAAUUUGUUGGUUUUUUAUUUGGGGAAAUGUCUUAUUUUUUCUGGGGGAAUUCUGUCAAAUUUUUUUUCCUACAGAAUUUAAGAGCUACGUGGAUCU
rnacentral:misc_RNA from 1 species